CAGCCGCCGCGGUAAUACGUAGGGUGCGAGCGUUAAUCGGAAUUACUGGGCGUAAAGCGUGCGCAGGCGGUUCGUUAAGACAGAUGUGAAAUCCCCGGGCUUUACCUGGGAACUGCAUUUGUGACUGGCGAGCUAGAGUAUGGCAGAGGGGGGUAGAAUUCCACGUGUAGCAGUGAAAUGCGUAGAGAUGUGGAGGAAUACCGAUGGCGAAGGCAGCCCCCUGGGCCAAUACUGACGCUCAUGCACGAAAGCGUGGGGAGCAAACAGGAUUAGAUACCCGAGUAGUCCCUGUCUCUUAUAC
rnacentral:rRNA from 1 species